rnacentral:rRNA from 1 species
AUUGAACGCUGGCGGCAUGCUUUACACAUGCAAGUCGAACGGCAGCGCUUGCUUCUUCCUGGCGGCGAGUGGCUUACGGGUGAGUAAUUCACCGGAACGUGCCCAGUCGUGUAGGAUAGCCCGGCUAAAGCCGGCUUAAUACCGCAUACCAUCUGAGUGUGAAAGCGGUGGUCCGUAAUUCCUCGCUCCAUUUGCGCGACCGAUGUCUGAUUAGCCAUUUGGUGGGGUAAAGGCUUACCAAGGCGACGAUCCGUAGCUGGUCUGAGAGGACGACCAGCCACACUGGGACUGGAACACGGCCCAGACUCCUACGGGAGGCAGCAGUGGGGAAUUUUGGACAAUGGGGGAAACCCUGAUCCAGCCAGGCGGCGUGCGGGAAGAAGGCCUUCGGGUUGUAAACCGCGUUUGUUGGGGAAGAAAUGCUCUGGGCUAAUACCCCGGGGGGAUGACGGUACCGGAAGAAUAAGAACCGGCUAACUACGUG